UGGUGGAACCAUGGAGUUUUCCUGAUGAAGCCUUGCCAACAUGCCUCAGCUGAAACUGGAAGGGUUCACUGGACAAUCCCAGUUCAUUCCCAUGUCCAUUUUCUCUGGGUUACACCCACCAGAAGACAGUGACAACUGGUCACAAUUAGAGAGGAAAAGUGCCAUUGUAUUUGACACUAGGCUGGACUCCGGAGAUGUUCAGUCGCUGGGUGUGUCUCAAACUGCUGGGUGACCUUGGCAGCUGAGUGCCUUCCACACAGAAUAAAUGCCAUUAAAGAAGUCCCAUCGAAGAGACUUCAUAGUAUACCUGGCACUUUCCCUGCAUCAGGAUUUAACAGCAACUGCCAUGGAAAAUGACCAGAAAUCUACAAUCUGAGAAAACCCAUCCAUCAUCUUCAGGCAGUCUUCCAAUCUGUUAACUUUAGCUGCUACUAGUAAGUGUCUCAGUCCAGGAAAAGCAAUUAUUACAAUGUUUUACAGAAUAGCUUCCAGAUAGCAUAUGAUGUAAACUGCUCUUGGGCAACAUUUCUUCUAAGGAAGCAGCCUUUUUUUCUUCAGUAAGCAACUUUACCAAUGCAAGUGUGAUAAAAACAGAGGUAAAGAGGAAGAGCUGUUGGAAGUGGGGAUUGACUGUAGCUACUGUGCCCAUUCACACCUUCCAAAGACUUGGAUCAUGAUACUUUGUAAAGCCCUUGUUAUGGGUGUUAUCAGUGUGCAGACUCUUUCAGUAAGGAUAAGAGAUAUUACAUGUGAUCGAGAUGUAGUCACUAACGUGUUACAUAGGGCCAAAUCAGGCAUCUUGUUUUGACUGCAGGUUCACAUCCAGAAUGUGGUAUUAUUUCACCUACUACCAUCUAACAUAUAUAACCAGCAAUGCAAAACAGGCCCAAACUCAGCGCAUUAGCAUCUCUGUUUUGAUUCCUGCUAUUUUGAGGUCCUUAAUAAAAAUGCAGCAUCACUGCAGGCAGUUGCCGGCAGUCAGUACCCUGAUCAGUACGCUUGCACAUGGCCUGAUCAGUAUGCUUGCACAUGGCAGUCACUUGCAUUUUUUUUCAGUGCUAUGUCUCCACAGCACAUGCUCCACAUGCUGCAGUGGCAAGAGGUUGCUGUGAAGGUGAUCACUGGCCUGGAGAGAUGGAGGCCUCUCUCCAUGUCAUUAGAUGACUUACGUGGAUAUCCUGCAGAUGUAGACAGGCCAGUGGAUGAACUCAACUGAGCUCUGAAUACAGAGAGAUUCCUCUUAGAGAAGGGGAAACCAAAGGAGGAGAGGGUCAAAGGAGCAGUGUAUGGUUUAUCUAGGACUACCUUCACUGUAGCCUGAUUUCUGUAACGAGAGACCUCUGGUGAGGGAUUGAGGAGGAAAACUUGACAACUCCUCUAUGACAACAGACAUACAUUGGCAAAACUCUACUUUAGGAUCUUAGAGCCAAUGCGUUUAGGAUCAGUCAGAUAAUCAUAUGGUGGCAUCUAACCAAGCCUCUCUGAUUAGUUUUGGGGGCUGGUUAAUAUCACACCUCUUUAUUGAAAGUUCCUCACUACUAGUUCCUGGCUGUUCUUCACACGUCCUUGUAAGCAGAUGUUAGCUCAUGAGUAACUUUGGAAUCAAUUCAGUCUGCCCCUGCUAGACUGCUUGAUCUUGAUGGCUGUUGUUAGCAGAUGACAUUCAGCAUGCUUCCAGACACCCAUCUACCUCAUCAGACUGAAUGACUUGUCUUUUCAGUUCCACUUCUGUAGCAUAUUAUAGAUCGUCUUGGCGUGUUUGGAUUUCUGAUUGCAGACUUGCUUUCUGAUCCUUGAAGAAUUUGACACUACGAGGAAAGCAUGGUCUGGAUUCCUUCUGAAAAUUUCAGAUUAAUGUGCUAUAUCUUUCUGCAUAAUAUGUAAUCCAAACCUAGAUACCCAUUUCCUUCACAAGCAAAAAUUUGGUCUUGAAUACCAUUGUUAAGUUGUUUGCUAGGAGGAAUGAGAUCAACAGGACCAUGGUACACAUUUAGUCUUUGUUUAGCAAUUGGUUCUUUUCAUGACUAAAUUAAGGAGACACAUAUACUGGAAGGUUUGAAACCAUAAUUUGCCUGGCUUAAAAGAUACUGUUCAGUAUAUCAAGGUGUUUGCUUUAAAUCAUCAAAGCUGUUUUGGCCAGCAGAUGUGCAUACAUACAAACAUAUAUAUAUAUAUAUAUAUAUUCUUAAAAUAUGUGUAGGCAUUCAGCCUAAUACAUAUAUAUAUGUGCAUUCCUUAUAUAUAUUAUUUGUAUAUAAUUUGUAUGUUAAUUCCUCCAUAUAAAUAAUGUAAAAUUCCUUCUUAUAUGUACAUCCACAUACAUAUACACAUGUUCCUCCUCAAUAUGUCCUCUUGCCUUUAAUUGUUGAAGACUGAUGGAUGCCAGCAAACAAUCUGAUUUUGAUGUCUAAUUAGAGGGUAAGAUACAUUGCUGAAAGGUCAACAGUUGGUGUUUGGGAGUUCUUGGCCCCCUGGACACCCUGCAAAUAAGUGUCUGGAAAGGCUGAUCUUACCAUAAGGCUUGUGAGCUGAUCAGAGUUUGGCUAUAGGAAGGUCUAUACUCUUCAUGCAAGUCAUAGGCAGUUUAAAAUAUUCAUCAACUUAGUUACGUGCCCUUUGUUCUCCUGGGCAGUAUUUCUACUGUAGUGAGAUAGAAGGUGUUAAAAUUAUCUGUUUUCCCUGGGAUAGGGGGAAUAAGAGCUUCUGCAUUACCACAUUUUUUUUGCUCCAUGUAACUGUUUUUGGGCAUUAGUGAUGUAACGUAUUAAAACAUGAUCAUGAAAUUGUAAGCAGGAAACAUUUAAUGGUAUCUGCUUGAUUCCUGACAGCAUUAUGCUAUCUGUAAUGAUGAGAAAGAUGAAAAUAAGUGUGACAUUUCUUACUUGGCAAAUGCUCUGUAGCACUAACAGAAAUUCCAACAGUCAGAUGAUUUCAAGGCUAGAAAUUAUUAUAGGCCUAAUGAACUGAAAAAGUGCUACUUCUUGCUGUCUAUUAUAACAGAAGAUUCUUUUAAUUAAAUAUGUAAAUUAAGAUGUGUAUGAGCAACAAAUAUGAAAUUUAAAGCCAUGCUUGCCAUUAGUUUGAAACCAGAAAUCAUCACUGCUUUCCUAGAGACAUCCAUUUUCAGUGAGAGUGACUCUGGUCUUUCUGGAAUUACUCUGUUAUGUUAUUUUACAGCAAUGUGCUCAGCCUGUAAAGUACAAACCAUUAAUGAUUUUUUUUUUUUUCAUCAAGAUACUAAUUUUCUUACUUAAGACAAUCUUGUUCUCUAAAUCCUUUCAGAUCUAUCACCCAGUUUAUGUGCACAACAGGUCUUUUGACAGUUCUGUAUCUCUUCCUAAAGCAAAAAGUCAGAGGAAAGAAAAAGGAGUUCUUGGGUCUAAGUAUUUGAAAAUUACUGUGGUCUAGAUGCCACUAAAGCACAAGUGUAACAGUACAUAUUUAAAAAAAAAAAAUCACUAGAUGUAGAAUACAACAUUCCAGACACACCAGAUUGUAUUCAAAUUCAUAUCAGCCUUUUAUCUGGGUAAUUUACCCUACUGAGAGGUAUGGGAAAAUGGGUGGCAUUUUUUCAGUUUUGUACUUUGCAACUUAUUGAGGUCCCCAAAUUCAUAUUUCCUUACAUUCUUCCUUUGUACUCACUGUGUUUGUCAGAGGAGAUGUGUGAAUGAAAAUAGAUCUGAAUUCUGCAUUGCUUUUGGGGCUUGGUUCAAAGAGGAUUGGCAGCCAUAGAAGGAUCUCAUCAAAGGCUUCCAUGACUUCUAGUCACAUCAUUAAUGAAGACCUUUUGAACAUUUUGGUCUUCUGCCUUCCAUAUGAAGAAAAAUAAUGAUCCUGCCUUUGAAAAAGGUUUUGAAAUUGCCAGGGAUGUAGAUAUUAAUCACUGUUAUACCUCCUUACAAGCAGUAAGAAAUGAAAUACCGUUUAACGGAAAGAAUGUGUUUUAUUAUAUUUACAACAAUGGAACUGGAAUAUAACCUUUUUAUUUAAAAAUCAACCUGCAGAUUAAGUUUUGAUUGCAGUGUUUUGUACUGAAAAUAAGAAUAAUGGAAGCAAUUAAGUAUUCAUAGUCCUGCUCUCACACAAACACCUUCCAUGGUGAGUCUGUUUAUGCAACUGAGUGUGCCAUACAAUUGUUUUUAUUACCUUCUUAUAAAACAGCCUGUAUAAAACACUUUUUUUUGAUUGUUUCUUUGUGUAUUGUUGAGCGUGUUUGCAUUCUAAAGGGCUUUGCCUCAUUAAAGCAAUUACCAUAAA